rnacentral:rRNA from 1 species
CACGUAGGGCGCAAGCGUUGUUCGGAAUUACUGGGCGUAAAGGGCUCGUAGGCGGCCAACUAAGUCAGACGUGAAAUCCCUCGGCUUAACUGGGGAACUGCGUCUGAUACUGGAUGGCUCGAGUUUGGGAGAGGGAUGUGGAAUUCCAGGUGUAGCGGUGAAAUGCGUAGAUAUCUGGAGGAACACCGGUGGCGAAGGCGGCAUCCUGGACCAACACUGACGCUGAGGAGCGAAAGCCAGGGGAGCAAACGGG